GACGAACGCUGGCGGCGUGCUUAACACAUGCAAGUUGAACGAGAAUUUUUCGAGUGAUUUCUUCGGAAUGAUCAUGAAAACGGAAAGUAGCGAACGGGUGAGUAACACGUGAGAAACCUGCCUUUCACAAAGGGAUAGCCUCGGGAAACCGGGAUUAAUACCUUAUGAAACCAAACACUCGCAUGAGAGAUUGGUUAAAGAUUUAUCGGUGUUAGAUGGUCUCGCGUCUGAUUAGCUAGUUGGUGGGAUAAAAGCCUACCAAGGCAACGAUCAGUAGCCGGAGUGAGAGGGUGAACGGCCACACUGGAACUGAGACACGGUCCAGACUCCUACGGGAGGCAGCAGUGGGGAAUUUUGCACAAUGGAGGAAACUCUGAUGCAGCGACGCCGCGUGAGUGAUGAAGGUGUUCGGAUUGUAAAACUCUGUCCUUAGUGAAGAUAAUGACAGUAACUAAGAAGCAAGCCCUGGCUAAAUACGUG
rnacentral:rRNA from 1 species